AGGCGGAGAUUUCGUAGUAGGAGACUUUUAGAGCGUAAAAGUGGCCUACAGAUUUGUUUAUACAAGAGUUGAGACGGCAUUGACAUUACAGGUUCGAAGAUGCAUAUCAUUGGGGAAUCUGGAAUGGAGAGACUCUUGUAUUAUUAGAACCAUUUAAGUUGUUUUCAUAGGAGCUUAUGUUUUCAGACAAUAGUUUUAGGUUGGUGUGUUUAGUUUGACCAUUGUUUUUGGUUUCAUAAGUUUUAAUAAAGUUGAUUUUUAAUAA